UGUUCACGCCCUCCCCCCAGUUGAUAAGUGUCUGUGACAGGAGCCAGGAAGAGAACAGAGCUCCAGAGUUUCGGCUAGGGAGGGAUUCAGGCAGCUUAUUCACCCGCCCUCUUGGCAAGCAUCUGCAAAGUCAGUCUGGAGGAGAACAGAGCUGCACAGUUCCAGGCAUGGAGGGAUGCACGCAGCUUAUUCACUUGCCCUCUUGGGGCCAGGAAAACAGAGCACCAGAGCUCCUGUCAUGGAGGGAUUUAGGGAGCUUAUUCACCCACCAUUUGGUAAACAUCUGCAAAGCCGCCCAGGAAGAGAACAGAGCUCCAAGCUCCUGCCAUGGAGGGAUUCAGGCAGAUUAUUCACUCCGCCCCUUGGGAAGGCUCUGCAACAUGGGCCAGGAAGAGUAUGGAGCUCCACAGUUCUGGCUACGGAGGGAUUUAGGCAGCUUAUUCACCCACCCUCUUGGUAAGUGUCUGUAACAAGGGCCAGGAAGAGAACAGAGCUCCAGAGUUACAGCCACGGAGAGAUUCAGGCAGCUUAGAAGAGAACAGAGCUCCAGAGUUCUGGCCAUGGAGGGAUUCAGGCAGAUUAUUACCACCCCCCCACCCCGUAACUGUCUGUAACAGGGGCCAGGAAGAGAACAUAGCUCCAGAGCUCCUGUCAUGGAGGGAUUCAGGAAGCAUAUUCACCCCCUCUCUUGGUAAGUGUCUGUAACUUGGGCCAGGAGGAGAACAGAGCUCCAGAGUUCCGCCCAUGGAGUGAUUCAAGCAGCUUAUUCACCCACCUUCUUUGUAAGUGUCUGCAAAGCCAGCCAGGAAGAGAACAGAGAUCCAGAGCUCCUGCCAUGGAGGGAUUCAGGCAGCUCAUUCACCUGCCCUCUUGGUAAGCAUCUGCAAUGCCAUCCAGGAAGAGAACAUCCUGCCAUGUAGGAAUUCAAGCAGAUUAUCUGCAAUGCGGGCCAGGAGGAGGACAGAGCUCCAGAUUUCCAGCCAUGGAGGGAUUCAGGCAGCUUAUUCACCACCCCCCCCCCUUUGUAAGCAUCUGCAAUGCAGGCCAGGAGGAGAACAGAGCUUCAGAGAUCCAGCAAUGGAAGGACUCAGGCAGCUUAUUCACCGCCUUCUUGGUAAGCACCUGCAGCUUGGGCCUGGAGAAGAACCAUUACCUGUGUGCCAACUUCCGCGCAAGCUGAAAAUCAAAUACCCUUCUCCCACCUGCCCUCUACCCCCUUACCUACUGGGGAUAGAUAUUUCAACAUCUCUUGCCAGGAUUACCAUAUACAGUAUAGCAAAUAUGGGGGAUUUCCUUCUAUCUUUUGUUUGAAGGCAUAGGUUUUUUUUUCACUUUUUGUUAUAUUUCUUUUGCUCUAUUCAGUAUUCUGAAUUGAUUUUACAAUGUUCUAUUUUUGGUUUGAUUUUACAAUACUUAAUUGACUGGAUAGCUAUUGUUAAAUUAAAGAGAUAUACCAUAGUACUUAGUACUAUCCCAGUAUCCUACUGUGAAAUCCUGUACCAAUUUCACUGCAUUGUCUCGAUUGGCUUUGUUCUGUCUUGCGCUGUUGCUACUUUCAAAAUUUUGCUACUUUCAAAAUUUUAAAAAAAUACAUGUUAAGACCCAUCCAUGUGUAAAAUCUAUAAACAGUUUAUGAGUACUGAUCUUAUGACAAUUGAUGAAAUGAACACAUACUUUGAAGAAAAGGAGACACUAAAAUAGCCAGUGCUGAUCCUGGGGUGCAUAAUGUGAAACCCAGCAAUAGUGUUAUUCUUUGUUCAGAGUGAUAUUAGCCUGCUUGGGUUUAUUCAAAGUCAACAUAAUUGAAGAUAUGGGUAACUGCAUAUAUGUUUAAGUGUAGAGGAUUGAUAGCCAUAUUUCUAAGUUUUUGUUGGAUAGUUGAACAGAACUAGUUACAAUCUCACUGUUUGAAUUCCCACUUUAUAUGCUCCAAUUUAGUAUCUUAAAUAACUAUUUGUAAGAAGACAAUCUGUAAUCAUCAACUAGUGAUUUCUUACUGUUUAUUUUUCUUUGAAAUUAUGUAUUAUUUCUACCCGUUUUUUGUUUUUUUAGUCUUUCUUUAAAUUCAGUUUUAAAAAGAAGACACUACAGUACCCAGUGCUGAUCAUGGAGUGUCAUGAAGUAAAAUCCAGCAAUACUAUUAUUCUUUGUUCAAAAUGAUUUUAACCUGCUUUAGGUUGUUUAAUCUAAACAUAAAUGAAGAUAUGGGUAACUGCAUGUAUGUUUACAUGUAUAAGAUUGAAACCAUGUUACUAAGUUUUUGUUGGACAGUUGAUUAGAACUUUUUUCAGUCUCUGUUUGAAUUCCCACUUUACAUGUUCCAUUUUUGUACCUUGAACAGCUAUUUGUAAAACGACAUCAACUAGUGAUUUCUUACCCUUUUUUUCUCUGAAUGUAUGUACUAUUUCUACCUAUUUUGUUUUGUUUAAUAUUUCUUGAAAUAAAAAAAAUUUAUUCUUUUCCA